rnacentral:rRNA from 1 species
UACGUAGGGUGCAAGCGUUAUCCGGAAUUAUUGGGCGUAAAGAGCUCGUAGGCGGUUUGUCGCGUCUGCUGUGAAAACUGGGGGCUCAACCCCCAGCCUGCAGUGGGUACGGGCAGACUAGAGUGCGGUAGGGGAGAUUGGAAUUCCUGGUGUAGCGGUGAAAUGCGCAGAUAUCAGGAGGAACACCGGUGGCGAAGGCGGGUCUCUGGGCCGAUACUGACGCUGAGGAGCGAAAGCGUGGGGAGCAAACAGG